CCUACGGGGGGCAGCAGUGAGGAAUAUUGGUCAAUGGACGAGAGUCUGAACCAGCCAAGUAGCGUGAAGGAUGACUGCCCUAUGGGUUGUAAACUUCUUUUAUAUGGGAAUAAAACGUUCCACGUGUGGGAUUUUGUAUGUACCAUAUGAAUAAGGAUCGGCUAACUCCGUGCCAGCAGCCGCGGUAAUACGGAGGAUCCGAGCGUUAUCCGGAUUUAUUGGGUUUAAAGGGAGCGUAGGUGGAUUGUUAAGUCAGUUGUGAAAGUUUGCGGCUCAACCGUAAAAUUGCAGUUGAUACUGGCAGUCUUGAGUACAGUAGAGGUGGGCGGAAUUCGUGGUGUAGCGGUGAAAUGCUUAGAUAUCACGAAGAACUCCGAUUGCGAAGGCAGUUCACUGGACUGCAACUGACACUGAGGCUCGAAAGUGUGGGUAUCAAACAGGAUUAGAUACCCCUGUAGUC
rnacentral:rRNA from 1 species